UCUUUUCCGUAUUCAUGAGUUUCUUUCAAACCUCUCUCUCAUUUGCUGAGGUUGUGCGUUCUCAACGAGUUCUAGAUCGUCACUGUAUCAGUCUAUCUUCCGUCAUUGUUCACUAUUCCAGAUCGUCGUUCGCCACUGUUCGCUGUUCCAAAUCAUCGUCCGCUGCUGUUCGUUGUUCCAGAUCAGUGUUCGUCGCUAUUCGUUCAUUUCUGUGUCAUGUCGCGCCAUCUGUCUCUGUUUUUGCGCUGCCGUCGCCGUCAUCGCCAUCUCCCGCAUCACUAUUCCAGAUCUGCAUUGCUGUUCCAGAUCUACGACGCUGCUAUACACCGGAGGAAGAGACGCCAUGAAGACCUCCUUUGCAGCCGUGUGUCAUUGCUGUACAGCCGAGGAAGCAACGCCGCAAAGACCUCCGCUACUGCCAUGAAGACUACACUGUGAAGGUACCUACACAAUUACAAGGUUGGGAGUGUGGAUACUAUGUUAUGAAGUUUAUGAGAGAAGUAAUCACACAAUAAGAGUUGAUCAUUCCUGAAAAUUAUUUUAUUGGAGUAAGAUGUUCGCAUUUUACUAUGGAGCAAAUAGAAGAUUUAGUUGAAAAGUUGUCAGAAUAUAUUAUUGGCUGUUUGUGAUAGGAAGAUAGAUUUCAAUGUUAGAAAAAUAACAAUAGUUUCAUUUGUUAGGCUUGUUAGAA